UUGGAGAGGUCUGGUCUUAAAAAUCAAUGUCAUGUGGCCUAUGCUUUGGACCAUGGUGCGCAGCUAUGCUCCUUAUGUUACAUUUCCUGUGGCCUUCGUGGUUGGGGCUGUGGGCUACCACCUCGAAUGGUUCAUCAGGGAAAGGAUCCACUUCCUGUGGAAGAAGAAAAAAGAGCAUCUCAGAGCGCCGGGAGGAUCGUAAGCUGGAUGAACUUCUAGGCAAGGACCAUACCCAGGUGGUGAGCCUUAAGGACAAGCUGGAAUUUGCCCCUAAAUCUGUCCUGAACAGAAACCGCCCUGAGAAGAAUUAAUGGAAGACACAGGACCCUAUGGUCAACAGGGCUGUGACUGGUCCUGCCAUGAUGUCAACUCAGCCCCAGAACAUACAUUUGAUUGCUUUUGCUUAUUCUGACCUCUUCUGUACCUCACAGCCUCACAUGUACUGGCUGCACCUUUAUAGCCAGGGAGACACAGGAGCAGCUGAGGGGCCAGCCAGAGAGGAAGGCUGAAUCUAUAGAAUGGGGUCCGACUGCUCAGGCUUCCGAGCUUCUGUUGGUGCACUGUCCCGAGAGUGCUGUAAAUGAACAUGGGCUCUCAGUCUCCUGGGGAGGUGGUUUGGCCUCAAGUGUGGAUGGCUGGGAUUUGGGUAUUCCCUUUAGGAGAGAUACCCAUGUGUCUAGUUCCAGUUUGUACAGGGAAGAAUUCAGAAAUCUACCUGGUUCCCUUGACUAGUUUGCCUUACCCUUUGUGUUCAUUCUUCCUGAAAUCCUCUUGUCAGCUCAGGAAUGGGAUUCCCUGGGGAAGGAAAGCAUUUUCUGUUGUCAGAUAUGCAGGCUGUUCCUGCUGGGGCAGGGAGGAAAUGUGCCUGGUGAAUUUGCUUGGAAACAAUCACCGUCCUCUACCCCUCAUCACUUGAUUAAAGUGGCAUCUGAGAACCAUUUUGAUCGAAUCCUGUCUUCUAGAUGGCAUUUGGGGUAGGCCAGUGAUAGUGGUUAAGGACUCUGGUUGCUGUGAAUCCAGGAGGCGGUGGUUCCCAAGAGCCUUUUUACCAUCAUGAUUAGAGGCAGUAGCUCUUUCAAAGUCUUAACGCUCACAUGUGUGCCACCCUCCUUUUCUCUAUAAGAAAAUAAUAUAUAGGGCCGGGGAUUUAGCUCAGUGCUUUUGCCACCUGCUGCGCAAGCGCAAGGACCUGAGUUCGAUCCCCGGUACCAAAAAAAAAAAAGAAAGAGAAAAUAAUAUAUGCACAUUAAAGGAAAUUUGGUAGGGAUUAGAACAAGGUCACCAACACUUCCAGCACUGUAAUGCAACCACUGUUAGAAUUUUGUUAUCUUUUCACUACUUUUCUGUGUAGUUUUGUUUUUGUUUUUGAACCAGGGUUUUGCUAUGUAGUUCAGGGUGGCCUUGAACUCACUAUGUAGUCCAGACUGGCCUUGAAUUCAUGGUGAUCCUCCUGCCUCAGCCUCCCAAGUGCUAGAAUUAUAGGCAUGUGCCACCAUACUGGGUUUCUGUGUAGUUUUUAAAGACAGUUACACCAUUAUACUUUAAAUUUUAUAUUGCUUUUUCACCUGUUAUUUCUUAAAAUCAUUCAUCUUAUCACAUGGUCAUAAUUGGGGUUUUUUUGUAUAUCCUUUUAUUGGUACAUUUUAGGUGUACAAUAUAAUGACAUUCAUCAUUGGAGAUAUGCACAUUUACAGACUCUCUUGGUUCUUAUAUUCUCAUAUUAAUUCCAUUCCCUUCUUUCCUUUCCCCUCCCCCUCCCCUUUGCCCCUUUUCUUCCUAUUUCACAUUAUCUAUUAUACCUUUUAGUCCUUAUUUACCCUUUCAGUUUCUCACACUAGAGAAACUAUUUGGUAUUUACACAUGUGUGUCCUGUUUAUUUCACUUAAGAGUAUCACCUCAGUGUGCAUCCAUUCAGCAAUACAUGUCUCUAAUUUCUCAUUUUUUAUGGUUGAGUAGCACUCCAUUUUAUAAAAAAACCACAUUUUCUUUAUCCAGUCUCCAGUUGAUGGGCAUUUGGGCUGUUUCCAAGUUUUAGCUUUUACAAACUGUGCUGCUAUGAACAUGGGUGCACAUAUAUCACUGUGGUAUGAUUCUUUUUAAUUCUUUGGGGAAGAUCCCCAGCAGGGGAAUACCUGGGUCAAAUGGGACUUCCAGUCCUAGUUCUUUGAGGUAUCUCCAUACUGAUUUCCAUGGUGGUUGCACCAGUCUAGACUACCACCAGCAGUGGAACAGGGUUCCUCUUUUCCCACAGCUCCUACAGCAUUUGUUGUUGAUUGAUUUCAUGAUAGCAGCCAUUCUUUCUGGAGUGAGGUGGAAUCUCAGUGUUGUUUUCAUUUGCAUCUCUUGGAGGUCAUAAUUGUUUUUAAGUACCUUCUGAAGAAUAUAGCAAAAAUUGAUUUUCAACAGUUUCCUUAUUGCUGAACAUUUGAAUUGUUUCUGAUUGUUCACAAGUUUAAAUACUCCAAGGACUGUUUUAUGUAAGGCUUUUCCUGCAUUUUGGAAUCAGUGGUGGGAACAGUAAAUGGCAUUUGGAUGACAUGGAAUGAACAGUUUUCAGAGUCCAUACAUCGUAGCAAGUGUCUCUCUGAAAGGGUUGCAGGAGUUAAUGCUAAAUGUCACCACUUGAGGUGUUGCUGGUGAGGUAAGGGCAAUGAGCAGAGGGCUGGAAGAGGCAGAAGAACGUGCUGCUCAUGAAGCUGACUCAUUUAACCUAAGUGCACAGGGAAGCAUAGUGAUCACUGAAGAGGGAAUCUGCCUGGAAAAAGGGAGGUUGUUUGCCCUGUCUCCUCUCUCAGGAUCUCUCUCUCCUCUGGGGCCUGAUGGUGUUAAUGGGGGCGGGCAGAACUCCUGAACAGGUCGAGAUGCCAGCUGGGGAGUGGGGCAGUGCUGGGAGGAGGAGGGUGCUCUAAGUGGUGGCCUGAGAAGAAAGGAUUAAGUCCAGUCAGUGGCUUCCCCUCAGUGUCUGUGGCCUAGUGGAGAUGUUGAGCUGAGCUGCUGUUGGUCCUCGGGGAAUAAAUCUGAUGAGAGUGGGGAAAGACUGCUACCUGAGGAAGGUGAGAUUUCUGGUUCCAAAAGGGUCUGCUAAGCUCAGUUUCUGCUUAGGGUUCUGGCUAGUGGCCUCUGCAUUGGUAGACCUGUGCUGCCACCCUGUGGCGGUUUUGAGCAUUACUAGGCCUGGAAUCUUCCCUGGACUAAAUCAGGAAUAACAAUUUUUUUUUUGGUAUAUCGUUUUAUUGGUACAUUUUAGGUGUACACUAUAAUGACAUUCAUCAUUGGAGAUAUGCACCUUUACAUAAUCACUCUUGGUUCUUAUUUUUCACCCUUGCCCAGCC
rnacentral:lncRNA from 1 species